rfam:Rattus norvegicus chromosome 10, whole genome shotgun sequence.
GUGGGAGUAGGCUCAGCGGUUAAGAGCACCCGACUACUCUUCCAGAGGUCCUGAGUUCAAUUCCCAGCAACCACA